GUGUGUGUGUGUGUGUGUGCGCGCGCGCGCGCGCGUGUGUGCUGCCGUUCAAGUCUAUGACUGUCCAAUAUGGCUGUGCAUGUUGCAACACCGUUGUGCCUCUGCACAAAGUAUUGUCUACCAAGAUGAGAAAGAAUAGUAAAGACGCUGACGGACACCCACAGGGCUUACUGGGAUCAGAGGUGUGUGACCUAGACUUUGGGGACCUCACCAAGCCACUCACUGGAUUAAGAACACAGACUACUGCCUCAGAAGCUGACAGGUGCUCAGAACACCUCACUCUUCACCCCAACCUGCCUCACCUCGACUGGCUUUCUCCACAUGGGCAAGCUCAUCUGGAAACUUGAGGACAUCAGGAUAGUCAUUCUCACAUAACUCAGCCAAGAAGUGCAACAAUGUCAUCUUCUGAUCUGUGGACUUGGUAUCUCGAAGCUUGGGACAAGAGGAAAAUCAUUAGUCCUGACCUGCCCCUCAGGCCCACACUGGGCUCACAGAGGCCCGAGAGCCUUCCCUUCAGUUGUCCUGCCCUAUUUCCACACCUCACCUUACAGAGGAAGCUGAUAUUGAAGCCAAAAGCACCAGCAUUCCUGGAGCCGGCAUUCAUAUAGUUUCCAACAAGGAGGGUAAUUUCUAGGAGGCUGGAGAAGCUCUCGCUCUUGCGCAGCUCCUCACAAGCGGCAGUGACAGACACAAUCUCUGGC